rnacentral:rRNA from 1 species
GUUGAACGCUGGCGGCAGGCCUAACACAUGCAAGUCGAACGGUAGCACAGAGAGCUUGCUCUCGGGUGACGAGUGGCGGACGGGUGAGUAACGUCUGGGAAACUGCCCGAUGGAGGGGAAUAACUACUGGAAACGGUAGCUAUACCGCAUAACGUCGCAAGACCAAAGUGGGGGACCUUCGGGCCUCACACCAUCGGAUGUGCCCAGAUGGGAUUAGCUAGUAGGUGGGGUAAUGGCUCACCUAGGCGACGAUCCCUAGCUGGUCUGAGAGGAUGACCAGCCACACUGGAACUGAGACACGGUCCAGACUCCUACGGGAGGCAGCAGUGGGGAAUAUUGCACAAUGGGCGCAAGCCUGAUGCAGCCAUGCCGCGUGUAUGAAGAAGGCCUUCGGGUUGUAAAGUACUUUCAGCGGGGAGGAAGGCGGUGGAGUUAAUAACUUCACCGAUUGACGUUACCCGCAGAAGAAGCACCGGCUAACUCCGUGCCAGCCGCCGCAGUAA